GCAAAUACCCACGAAAUAAGACGUCUCAGUUCGGAUGUAGUCUGCAACUCGACUACAUGAAGCUGGAAUACGCUAGUAAUCGCGAAUCAGAAUGUCGCGGUGAAUACGUUCCCGGGCCUUGUACACACCGCCCGUCACACCAUGAGAGGUUGGCAAUACCCAACGUACGUGAUCUAACCCGCAAGGGAGGAAGCGUCCUAAGGUAGGGUCAGCGAUUGGGGUGAAGUCGUAACAAGGUAGC
rnacentral:rRNA from 1 species